rnacentral:lncRNA from 1 species
GCAGCAUCACCAGGGGAACGGGCGGGGGCGUGGCCUCGGGCGGGGGGGUCUUUGGCCGGAUGCAUACUCGGGCAGGUCCGCAAGUGGGCCCGCGUCCAUUACCAUGUAGCCGCCGCCAUAGCUUCCUUUGGAGAUGCAUUUAGCCACUCGCUGUACCAGGGGAGAGGGGUAUGCAACUCCCGCCCCGGGCCCUGGAUCCUGCCUGGAUCCGGGCUUAAGUAGUGUUCGGACCCCCC